rnacentral:lncRNA from 1 species
UGCUCUCCUGACCGUCUACGAGAAGACUGGGAAACUUGAGAGGCUUGGCGAACUCCUUGAGGACAUGGGCUUUGUUUUCUGUUCCAUUUUACCCUCCACUGUGCCUUCGCAGGGAUUCCCCAGGAUCAACCAUCUGAGCAGAUACCUUGGAAUGUCCCCAGAUUUCAGAGCCUCGGACCAGCAGCAACACACUCUGAAGUAGGUCUCAGAAGACAAAAAGCUGAAAUCAACUCAUGCUUCCUGCUACACAGAAUCCACUGAGAGGAAAAGGAAACUUCACCGAAACUUCAGAAAGCUACAGAAAUGACAUCCAUUUUCACAAUCCCAGAAGGAAAGAUGCAUCUGAAGGGAAUAAAAACAGAGCAAUGGAAGAGUAUUUGUUAAAAUAAAUGGCUUUGACAGGGCA